rnacentral:rRNA from 1 species
AGAGCGGGAGCCCGGAGAUGGGCACUGGGACAAGGGCCCAGGCCCUGCGGGGCGCAGCAGUCGCGAAAACUUUGCAAUAAGCGAAAGCUUGACAGGGCUAUCCCGAGUGCCAUCCGCUGAGGAAGGCUUUUACCCAGUCUAGAACGCUGGGGGAAUAAGGAGAGGGCAAGUCUGGUGUCAGCCGCCGCGGUAAUACCAGCUCUUCGAGUGGUGUGGAUGUUUAUUGGGCCUAAAGCAUCCGUAGCUGGCUAGGUUAGUCCCUUGUUAAAUCCACCGAAUUAAUCGAUGGUUUGCGGGGGAUACUGCUUGGCUAGGGGACGAGAGAGGCAGACGGUAUUUUCGGGGUAGGGGUGAAAUCCUAUAAUCCCGGGAAGACCACCAGUGGCGAAGGCUGUCUGCU